rnacentral:rRNA from 1 species
UGGGGAAUUUUGGACAAUGGGCGCAAGCCUGAUCCAGCAAUGCCGCGUGCAGGAAGAAGGCCUUCGGGUUGUAAACUGCUUUUGUACGGAACGAAACGGUCCUGGUUAAUACCUGGGGCUAAUGACGGUACCGUAAGAAUAAGCACCGGCUAACUACGUGCCAGCAGCCGCGGUAAUACGUAGGGUGCGAGCGUUAAUCGGAAUUACUGGGCGUAAAGCGUGCGCAGGCGGUUUUGUAAGACAGGCGUGAAAUCCCCGGGCUCAACCUGGGAAUGGCGCUUGUGACUGCAAAGCUGGAGUGCGGCAGAGGGGGAUGGAAUUCCGCGUGUAGCAGUGAAAUGCGUAGAUAUGCGGAGGAACACCGAUGGCGAAGGCAAUCCCCUGGGCCUGCACUGACGCUCAUGCACGAAAGCGUGGGGAGCAAACAGGAUUAGAUACCCACGUAGUCCCUGAGCGGGCUGGCAAGGCGCAU